rnacentral:rRNA from 1 species
CCUACGGGGGGCAGCAGUGGGGGAUAUUGGACAAUGGGGGGAACCCUGAUCCAGCGACGCCGCGUGAGUGAAGAAGUAUUUCGGUAUGUAAAGCUCUGUCAGCAGGGAAGAAAGAAAUGACGGUACCUGACCAAGAAGCCCCGGCUAACUACGUGCCAGCAGCGGCGGUAAUACGUAGGGGGCAAGCGUUAUCCGGAAUUACUGGGUGUAAAGGGAGAGUAGACGGUUAAGUAAGUCAGAAGUGAAGACCCAGGGCUCAACCUUGGGACUGCCUUUGAAACUGAGUAGCUAGAGUGCAGGGGAGGUAAGCGGAAUUCCUAGUGUAGCGGUGAAAUGCGUAGAUAUUAGGAGGAACACCAGUGGCGAAGGCGGCUUACUGGACUGUAACUGACGUUGAGGCUCGAAAGCGUGGGGAGCAAACAGGAUUAGAUACCCUUGUAGUC